rnacentral:misc_RNA from 1 species
AAGUCGUAACAAGGUUUCCGUAGGUGAACCUGCGGAAGGAUCAUUAGCGUAAUUCUGGUUGAAAAACCGAGGAUUUCCACACUUGUGUUUUAAGCAAAAGGUUUUCAAAGUGUUCUCUUGUUUUCUUUACUGGAAAAGGGAGACACGAGGAAUUUUUUGCGAACUCAAAAACUGUCUCUUUUUUUCUUUUCUGUUUGAUUACAGAGGAAGAAGGACGGUAUAAACUUUUUUAUUAUCAAUAAUAAAUAAAAACUUUCAACAACGGAUCUCUUGGUUCUG